GCAAACUUGGUCAUUUAGAGGAAGUAAAAGUCGUAACAAGGUUUCCGUAGGUGAACCUGCGGAAGGAUCAUUACCAAUUUUUAUGAAGUAAAACUUUAGCUUUACCUUCAUAUUAAUUCAAUCCAAACCCAAACCAAGUGAACAACAUAACACUAUGUUUUUACAUGCUUUAAUUUUUUUUUUUUACGUUGUAAAAUUUAUUUUUUUAAAUAAACUAAAAAUACAACUUUCAGCAACGGAUCUCUAGGCUCUUGCAUCGAUGAAGAACGCAGC
rnacentral:misc_RNA from 1 species